CCACGUGCGAGAGUUGAGGCGUGAAUGGGCUGUCCGUGGGAAUGUGCGUUAGCUUGGCUUGGUCCUUGUGAAGGGAUAGUGGAGUCCAUGUGCAAGAACGAAGCGGGCCCAGGCUGGAUGAAUGUGCAUGAGUUUGUGACGUGUGCGGGUCCCUGUGCAUGAAUUCAUGAAGUGCGGGAAUGGGCCAUCAAAUUGUGAAUCUAUGUGCAGGAAUGAGCGUCUGGUGGGGCCACGUGUGCGUAAGGGUGAAGUGAUG
rnacentral:lncRNA from 1 species